UUUAAAACUGUAUAUAUAUGUCCAUGUUAUAACAUUUUUUAAAAAGACCGUCUGCAGACCAAGAUGCUACAGUGAUUAUCCUAGAACGAAGAAAUCAAUUCUUUUUUGUGUGUGCUUAACUGUAUAUUGUCAGUUUUUGCAAUGGAAAUGCAUUAUGUUUGUAAUCAUAAAAGAACACACUUACUGGAUGAAGAGGGAGGACCCUGAUACGUGUACUAAGAAGACAGCAUGGGCCCAUGCAUCCGACCACGCGAUUGGUGUCACGUGCUUGACCAGCUGUUUAUCAGCUUUGCCCCUCCACUUGCGAGUUGGCUGAGCAUAGAUGCUCCAGGUGAGUCAUGCCCAGCCUGUCAUCAGAUAGCACAUCAGCAUAAAUGCAGUAUCACUUCAGGGCUGUGAGAUCUCAGAGGGAGGGGAAAGGGUGAACUAGACAAUCAAGAGGGGCUUCCUGAAGGAGGUGGCAAACUGUAUCAGCUGAAGCUGGGCAGGACGUAGAGGGCAUCUUGAGUAAAAGAAGCAACUGGACUCUCGGGAAGAGAAGAGGAGGGCCCAGGUGCCACGGCCCCUACAAGACAAGACUAGGGGACUGGAGGACCAGACUGGCAGAUGGCAGACCCCUUUGCCAUGAGCACAUGCAAUGUGGGGCCAGUUCUUAGUGACAUUUCAGACAGUGGCCAGAGGACAGCAGGACGUGGUGGUCGUCUCCCCCCUGCCACAGAGGACACAGUGGGCCCAGCACCUCAGCCACAUGUGAUGGAGCCUCCAGGCCUGCCCAGCACCUACUGCCCUGGGACAGGCUCUCUUUCAAGUCAGCUCCUCUGUCCAGGAAGCAUCUGAGAGGCCCUGUGGUCCUGGCCGAGGAGGCAGGCCGUACGGAGGGCAGGCCCGAGGACCCAGGUGUGGGCACACUCCGUGUGGAGUGGUCUCUGAGGCCAGACCUGCAGUGCCUGUUUCCUGUGCCCUGGGGACCUGGAGAACAGAGGACCGAUGGGCACUGCAGCAGGGCGGAGCAGGCCUGAGCCCAGCUCGAGGAAAGCUUGCCUUCUUGUCUGGUGUCCCCAUGUUUGACAUAAUUAGAAAUCUGUGUGUGAAAAAUUUUUAAGCAAUUGAAAGGAGCGGGGGUGUGGUGGGAAGAAUUAUUAAAUAACAAAAAACAAAAUCAAUCCUCGGUUUGGCCUGGCCAGAUGAGCGUUUCUCAGCUCAGGUUACCACUGGCAAUGGUCCCGCUGGUGGCUCUGUCCCUGCUUCAUUCAGGUUGCUCUUCUCCAGCCUCCCACCGUUCCCUCGUCACGGCUCUCCCAGCGCCUCCUCAGCACCGUUCCAGCCUCUACCUGAUGCCCACUUCGAAAAC